GGUGUCUCAGAAGGAAAUGUUGAUGUUGUUACCAGAGGGGAGAAUGAUGAUCAGCAGGCAAAAGAAACAGAUGUCCACUACACACCCCACCCCAGACAGGACUGAAUGCGAAUUUCAUCUUCAUGACCAGGAGAAAGAGGAGAACCGAAUCACCUUUCCUGAAUGCAGGCCAACUUUUUAAACCCAAUUCUCUAAGAGGAGGCUUCUGCGCUAAAUUUUGUGGUGUCUGCCACUUGCCCAAAGUUCUGGAACUAUUUAGGAAGAAGGUGGACUUGUCCUGGCCAGUGUCUGGUCUCCAAGAAGCCCCUCUGCCAAGGAUCCUUUCAGAGAUGCAAGAAGCAAAGGAUUUUUGAUUGAGACAGUCGGAGGGCACCCAGGAGCUCCCAGAAAUGGGGAAGGGUGGGAAUCCGCGUGGGAUCAGCGCCCAGACGCCGCCGCCCUAGCCCUUGCAGUGGCGAGGCUGCGUGGAAGCCCACUCCCCGGCCCCGCGCCACAUUUCCUUCUGGCGCUGGGGAACAUUGUUCCAGAAAACGUGGGCUGAAUCGCAGUGCGAAUAUUAGGGGCGGGAGGAGAAGGCCCGGCGCGCCGAGCCAGUAAUCCGA